rnacentral:rRNA from 1 species
GAUGAACGCUGGCGGCGUGCUUAACACAUGCAAGUCGAACGGGAUCCAAGGGGUGCUUGCACUUUUUGGUGAGAGUGGCGAACGGGUGAGUAACACGUGAGUAACCUGUCCUUUUCCUUGGGAUAAGCAUUCGAAAGGGUGUUUAAUACCUUAUGUUCUGUCUGCCUCGCAUGGGGUGGGUGGGAAAGGCUUUGGCCGGAUUUGGGUGGGCUCGCGGUCUAUCAGCUUGUUGGUGGGGUGAUGGCUUACCAAGGCUUUGACGGGUAGCCGGCCUGAGAGGGUGGUCGGUCACAUUGGGACUGAGAUACGGCCCAGACUCCUGCGGGAGGCAGCAGUGGGGGAUAUUGCACAAUGGGCGAAAGCCUGAUGCAGCGACGCCGCGUGGGGGAUGAAGGCCUUCGGGUUGUAAACUUCUUUUGCUCUGAACAAGGCAUGCCAGUGGGUGUGUUGAGUGUAGGGGUUGAUUAGCGCCGGCUAACUACGUG